rnacentral:rRNA from 1 species
UACGGGAGGCAGCAGUGGGGAAUAUUGGACAAUGGGCGGAAGCCUGAUCCAGCCAUGCCGCGUGUGUGAAGAAGGCCUUUUGGUUGUAAAGCACUUUAAGCGAGGAGGAGGCUACUAGUACUAAUACUACUGGAUAGUGGACGUUACUCGCAGAAUAAGCACCGGCUAACUCUGUGCCAGCAGCCGCGGUAAUACAGAGGGUGCGAGCGUUAAUCGGAUUUACUGGGCGUAAAGCGUGCGUAGGCGGCUGAUUAAGUCGGAUGUGAAAUCCCCUGAGCUUAACUUAGGAAUUGCAUUCGAUACUGGUCAGCUAGAGUAUGGGAGAGGAUGGUAGAAUUCCAGGUGUAGCGGUGAAAUGCGUAGAGAUCUGGGAGGAAUACCGGAUGGCGAAGGCAGCCAUCUGGGCCUAAUACUGACGCUGAGUCAAAGCAAUGGGGA